rnacentral:rRNA from 1 species
CCUACGGGAGGCAGCAGUGGGGAAUAUUGCGCAAUGGGCGAAAGCCUGACGCAGCGACGCCGCGUGAGGGAUGAAGGUCUUCGGAUCUUAAACGUGCUGUCAGAAGGGAAAAAUCUACAGUGCCCCCCAAUCACAGCAUGUAUUGAGCACCCUGACUACAG